AAUGAACGCUGGCGGUAGGCCUAACACAUGCAAGUCGAACGCAUACUUUUACAGUAUAAGUAGCAAACGGGUGAGUAACGCGUGAGAAAUCUACCUUACAAUCUGGGAUAAAAUCCCGGAUUCUUUCUAAACUAGAUGUUCCGACAAAUAGUAUAGAAUAAAAGCUUAAAUGUCGUUGUAAGAUGUGCUCGCGUAGGAUUAGGUAGUUGGUGAGGUAAAAGCUACACCAAGCCGAAGAUCCUUAGCUGGUCUGAGAGGAUGAUCAGCCACACUGGGACUGAGACACGGCCCAGACGCUUUCGAGCAGCAGCAGUGAGGAAUUUUGGACAAUGGGCGAAAGCCUGAUCCAGCCAUAGCGCAUGAGAGAAGAAGGCUCAAUUGGUUGUAAAGCUCUGAUUUGAUUGAAGAUUAUGACAUAAGAUCAAAGAAUAGACCCGGCUAACUUCGUG
rnacentral:rRNA from 1 species